AACGAACGCUGGCGGCAGGCUUAACACAUGCAAGUCGAACGCCCCGCAAGGGGAGUGGCAGACGGGUGAGUAACGCGUGGGAACAUACCCUUUCCUGCGGAAUAGCUCCGGGAAACUGGAAUUAAUACCGCAUACGCCCUACGGGGGAAAGAUUUAUCGGGGAAGGAUUGGCCCGCGUUGGAUUAGCUAGUUGGUGGGGUAAAGGCCUACCAAGGCGACGAUCCAUAGCUGGUCUGAGAGGAUGAUCAGCCACAUUGGGACUGAGAAACGGCCCAAACACCUACGGGAGGCAGCAGCAGGGAAUCUUCCGCGAGGGACGCAAGUCUGACGGAGCAACACCGCCUGAGGGAAGAAGUGCGCCGGAGCGGAAAGCGCUGUUGUUAGAGAAGAAAAGCGCAUAUAGUAACGGCGAGGAGUGUGACGGUAGCGAACCAGAAAGCCACGGCUAACUACGUG
rnacentral:rRNA from 1 species